rnacentral:rRNA from 1 species
UACAGAGGUCCCAAGCGUUGUUCGGAUUCAUUGGGCGUAAAGGGUGCGUAGGCGGCGCGGUAAGUCGGGUGUGAAAUCUCGGAGCUUAACUCCGAAACUGCAUUCGAUACUGCCGUGCUUGAGGACUGGAGAGGAGACUGGAAUUACGGUGUAGCUGGUGAAUGCGUAGAUAUCGUAAGGAAGACCAGUGGCGAAGGCGGGUCUCUGGACAGUUCCUGACGCUGAGGCACGAAGGCCAGGGAGCAAACGGG